rnacentral:rRNA from 1 species
UACGGGGGGGGCAAGCGUUGUUCGGAAUUACUGGGCGUAAAGGGCUUGUAGGUGGCCAACUAAGUCAGACGUGAAAUCCCUCGGCUUAACCGGGGGACUGCGUCUGAUACUGGAUGGCUUGAGUGUGGGAGAGGGAUGCGGAAUUCCAGGUGUAGCGGUGAAAUGCGUAGAUAUCUGGAGGAACACCGGUGGCGAAGGCGGCAUCCUGGACCAUUACUGACACUGAAAAGCGAAAGCCAGGGGAGCAAACGGU